GUUCAGCAGUGUCUGGUUUGGUAGGGUUUGUGGGUGGAGCUGACUGGCUGCAGAAGCAGGGACAGUUCCAGAGCCAUCCUGACACCACAGCCCAGCACACUUCCAUCUUGCACAGUCAGACACACAUCAUGAAGAGGCUGCUGGGCUCCCUGCUGGGGCUUCUGUGCACCCAUGUUUGCUGGCUGAAAGGGCAACAAGUGGUGCAGAGUCCCGGAGCCUUGACUCUCCAGGAGGGAGAGAAUUGUGACCUGCAGUGCAACUUUUCCUCCACUCCUACCAACCUACAGUGGUUUCACCAGAAUCCCCAGGGCCGCCUCAUCACCCUGUUUUCCAAUCCCUCGGGAACAAAGCAGAGUGGAAGACUAAAGUCCACGACAGACGCUAAGGAACGCCGCAGCUCCCUGCACAUCUCCUCCUCCCAGACCACAGACUCAGGCACUUACUUCUGUGCGGUGGACACACAGUGCUCCCCAGACACCUGCAGUCUGAACACAAACUUCAGCUGGGUCAUGGAUUUUGUUGAUCUGAUUAUGGCAUCUUUCAGAUCAUCAACCAUUUUUAUCAGAAAAGUUUUAAAGAAACUAAGGAAAGCUGAAAUUAAUGUCCAGAAUGGAAAAAUGGGGUAA